rnacentral:rRNA from 1 species
GACGAACGCUGGCGGCGUGCCUAAUACAUGCGAGUCGAGCGGACUGAUUAAGAGCUUGCUCUUAUGACGUUAGCGGCGGACGGGUGAGUAACACGUGGGCAACCUGCCCUGUAGAUCGGGAUAACACCGAGAAAUCGGUGCUAAUACCGGGUAAUAUCUGAGAUCACAUGAUCUUAGGUUAAAAGAUGGCUCCGGCUAUCACUACAGGAUGGGCCCGCGGCGCAUUAGCUAGUUGGUAAGGUAAUGGCUUACCAAGGCGACGAUGCGUAGCCGACCUGAGAGGGUGAUCGGCCACACUGGGACUGAGACACGGCCCAGACUCCUACGGGAGGCAGCAGUAGGGAAUCUUCCGCAAUGGACGAAAGUCUGACGGAGCAACGCCGCGUGAGUGAUGAAGGGGUUCGGCUCGUAAAGCGCUGUUGUUAGGGAAGAAACAGUACCGAACGAACUAGGUCGGUACCUUGACGGUACCUAACCAGAAAGCCACGGCUAACUACGUG